GGGGUCUGCAGCAGCAGCCGGCUGCGAUCCGUGAUGACCUCGCCGAUGUGGUACGGCAGGCCGCAGUUCGCGAACGAGACGUAGUCGCCCUUCUCGAACACGAUGAUCUCGGCGAACUCGUCCAGUCGGCGCGCACGUGCGGCGACGGAUGCUCCGCCUGCGACUCCCC
rnacentral:antisense_RNA from 1 species